GAGUAGGAGGAAGAAGCCAUCGUCUCUCUUGUCUUCUUUCUUCUCUUCUUUUCCCCUCCUUUGUUUUCGCUUCCUCCUUGGCGGUGCGGUAAUGGAGGGGGAGAGAGGGGAGACGGCUUCUCUUUUCUGAGCGCUGGCCCCCGGGGGGCAGAGGGAGAGGGGAAGAGAGAGAGAGAGAGAGAGAGAGAGAGUUAUAGUGUGGGUGUUGGACGGGGGGAAUCAUGCAUAUGAUGCGACGGCUGAAGAGCAUUGCGUCCGGGAGGUCGUCGAUUUCGGAUCCCGGUGGAGAUCCUGGCACAAAAAGAGCAAAGUUUGAUCAGGAUGGAGCAGGGGAAGUUUCUUCAGAACAACAUCUUGUGGAAGAUAAAUCUGUUGGUCUAGAUCACAAUAUGACUUCAACUCAUUUACCUUUGGAUGCAAGCACAUCGAACAUGGAUCCACCUGCUAGAACUGAAGAUGCUGCUGUAGAUCAGCUUCCAAAGGAAAUGCAUGAAAUGACAAUUAAGGAUGAUAAAGUUGAAGACCACAAUGAGAAGGAUACUGAAGGGACAAUGAUGAUUGGUAAUGGAACUGAGAGAGGUCAGAUAAUUGCAACAACAAUAGGUGGUCGAAAUGGGCAGCCUAAACAGACAAUCUCAUAUAUGGCAGAACGAGUGGUUGGCACUGGUUCGUUUGGCAUAGUCUUUCAGGCUAAGUGUGUCGAAACAGGAGAAACAGUGGCUAUCAAGAAGGUGCUGCAAGAUAAGAGAUACAAGAAUAGAGAACUCCAAAUUAUGCACUUACUUGACCAUCCGAAUGUAGUCCAGCUAAAACACUAUUUCUUUUCAACCACCGACAAUGAUGAGGUCUACCUCAACCUUGUACUUGAGUAUGUAUCUGAGACUGUUUAUCGCAUUUGCAAGUACUAUAGCCGGAUGAACCAACGUAUGCCUCUCAUAUAUGUUCAGUUGUAUACAUAUCAGAUCUGCCGUGCACUUUCUUACAUCCAUCGUGUUGUAGGGGUCUGUCAUCGUGACAUUAAACCACAAAAUCUAUUGGUGAAUCCUCAUACUCAUCAAGUAAAGCUUUGUGACUUUGGCAGUGCUAAGAAACUGGUUCCAGGAGAGCCUAAUAUAUCUUACAUCUGCUCACGGUACUAUAGGGCUCCAGAGCUCAUCUUUGGAGCUACGGAAUAUACCACUGCAAUUGAUAUGUGGUCUGUUGGUUGUGUUUUGGCCGAGCUUCUUAUAGGGCAGCCUCUAUUUCCUGGAGAAAGUGGGGUUGAUCAGCUGGUGGAAAUCAUUAAGAUCUUAGGUACCCCUACACGAGAAGAGAUCAAAUGCAUGAAUUCAAAUUACUCUGAGUUCAAAUUUCCUCAGAUUAAAGCCCAUCCCUGGCACAAGCUUUUCCACAAGCGAAUGCCUCCCGAGGCAGUUGAUCUUGUAUCAAGGCUACUUCAGUACUCACCAAAUUUGCGUUGCACUGCUGUCCUAAACCACUUCUUAAAAAAAAAAAAAAGCAAAUUGAGCUUGAAUCAAGAAUUUGUAUGAAAGCAUCAGCAACAUAUCUACUGCCUUUUUACCCCCAAGCACUUGUUUGGAUGGUUUCGCCCUUUGCCACUUGGGCAAGGGAGUGCGAGUUCAAUUCUGGUUGAAGACAGCCCUCAAGGUUGGGGUGGGUAUAGGGUAGAAAGUUGGAGGCCUGUGCCCAUCCAUUCUUUGAUGAAUUGAGGGACCCGAAUGCCCGUCUGCCAAAUGGACGCCCCCUACCCCCUAUAUUUAAUUUCAUGCCUGAAGAGCUUGAAGGUGCUUCUCCAGAACUCAUUCAGCGCUUCAUUCCUGAGCGUGUGAAGAAAUAAAUGCAGCAAGCAGUAUCUAAGCGUUCUGGUGAUUUCUGGAUAGCACAAUCCAUGAUAUAUCAAGUAUGGAGCCCACAAGUGACUGAUCUGUUUGUGAUUUGAUCAGAAGAGAGGAAGGCUUUAGGGAGGGGGGUAUUCAUGAACUGUCGGAUCUUUGCACCAAGGCAGAUCUCAAGAUGACCUGCGAGCAUCAUAGGCAUGACAUGAUUUGGGUUUUGCCCAUCCAUAUGUAUUUUCUGUGAGAUGAGUAGCUCAUGUACCAGCUUCUAUAGCCCCAGGACAUAAUGCUAAAAAAAAAAUAAAAUCCGUGUGUAUGUAGAGAUGAAGUUUUUAGAAUGUUCUGUUCUGAGAACUAGAUUAUGUGUUGUUUCUGUCAGGUAAUUAGCUUGAAAACCAAUCAUCUGUGACUGAUCGCCCUUUC